UGGGGAAUAUUGCACAAUGGGGGAAACCCUGAUGCAGCAACGCCGCGUGAGUGAUGACGGCCUUCGGGUUGUAAAGCUCUGUCUUCAGGGACGAUAAUGACGGUACCUGAGGAGGAAGCCACGGCUAACUACGUGCCAGCAGCCGCGGUAAUACGUAGGUGGCGAGCGUUGUCCGGAUUUACUGGGCGUAAAGGGAGCGUAGGCGGACUUUUAAGUGAGAUGUGAAAUACCCGGGCUCAACUUGGGUGCUGCAUUUCAAACUGGAAGUCUAGAGUGCAGGAGAGGAGAAUGGAAUUCCCGGUGGAGUGGUAAAAUACGUAGAGAUCGGGAGGAACACCAGUGGCGAAGGCGACUCUCUGGUCUGUAACUGACGCUGAGGAGCGAAAGCGUGGGGAGCGAACA
rnacentral:rRNA from 1 species